GACGGAGUCUUUCUGGAAACAGAGAGAGUGGAACGCGGUAAACCCCUCAAGCUAGCAACCCAAAUUUUGGUCGGGGCAUGGAGUACGCGGAAACGAACGUAGUAUUCUGACUGCUAUCAGCUAGAGCUGUUAGUGGUAGACAGAUGAUUAUCGAAGGAAGUGGUCCUAGUCACUUCUGGAACAAAACAUGGCUUAUAGAA
rnacentral:RNase_P_RNA from 1 species